GAUGAACGCUGGCGGCGUGCUUAACACAUGCAAGUCGAACGAAGUACUUAAGAUUGAUUCUUCGGAUGACGUCUUUUGUGACUUAGUGGCGGACGGGUGAGUAACGCGUGGGUAACCUGCCUCACACAGGGGGAUAACAGUUAGAAAUGACUGCUAAUACCGCAUAAGACCACAGGGUCGCAUGACCCGGUGGUAAAAACUCCGGUGGUAUGAGAUGGACCCGCGUCUGAUUAGCUAGUUGGUGGGGUAACGGCCCACCAAGGCGACGAUCAGUAGCCGGCCUGAGAGGGUGAACGGCCACAUUGGGACUGAGACACGGCCCCAG
rnacentral:rRNA from 1 species